AGCGAACGCUGGCGGCAUGCUUAACACAUGCAAGUCGCACGAAGGUUUCGGCCUUAGUGGCGGACGGGUGAGUAACGCGUAGGGAUCUAUCCAUGGGUGGGGGAUAACACUGGGAAACUGGUGCUAAUACCGCAUGAUACCUGAGGGUCAAAGGCGCAAGUCGCCUGUGGAGGAGCCUGCGUUCGAUUAGCUAGUUGGUGGGGUAAAGGCCUACCAAGGCGAUGAUCGAUAGCUGGUUUGAGAGGAUGAUCAGCCACACUGGGACUGAGUCACGGCCCAGGCUCCUACGGGAGGCAGCAGUGGGGAAUAUUGGACAAUGGGGGCAACCCUGAUCCAGCAAUGCCGCGUGUGUGAAGAAGGUCUUCGGAUUGUAAAGCACUUUCGACGGGGACGAUGAUGACGGUACCCGUAGAAGAAGCCCCGGCUAACUUCGUGCCAGCCGCCGCAGUAA
rnacentral:rRNA from 1 species